rnacentral:rRNA from 1 species
AUGGAGGUGCAGGCUGGCUACCAACGCGACACGACGGGGAGGAGCAACGACACUCGAAGGACACCACCAGCCGCCGGCGACCCCGCGCCGCGCCGCCUUUCCCCGGACCCCUGGAUGAGCUCGAGCUCCACGACGGAGGCGGCAACGACAACAUUGCUCCUCUCUGCAGAUGUGGUGUUUGUUAAAAUGCCAGAGAAAAAGAGAGGAGGACGAAUAAGAAUGACGUAUGGGCCCCACGGUCACUUAAUGGUCAAACUAAACGGUGUUGACUUUUUCUCCAUGUCAGCGCUGACAGACGGGCUCCACUUGUCAUGA